rnacentral:rRNA from 1 species
AUUGAACGCUGGCGGAAUGCUUUACACAUGCGAGUCGAACGGCAGCACGGACUUCGGUCUGGUGGCGAGUGGCGAACGGGUGAGUAAUGUAUCGGAACGUGCCCAGACGUGGGGGAUAACGUAGUGAAAAUUACGCUAAUACCGCAUACGAUCUAUGGAUGAAAGCGGGGGAUCUCAAGACCUCGCGCGAUUGGAGCGGCCGAUAUCAGAUUAGGUAGUUGGUGGGGUAAAGGCCCACCAAGCCAACGAUCUGUAGCUGGUCUGAGAGGACGACCAGCCACACUGGAACUGAGACACGGUCCAGACUCCUACGGGAGGCAGCAGUGGGGAAUUUUGGACAAUGGGCGAAAGCCUGAUCCAGCCAUUCCGCGUGCAGGAUGAAGGCCCUCGGGUUGUAAACUGCUUUUGUACAGAACGAAAAGGUUUCUACUAAUACUAGGAGCUCAUGACGGUACUGUAAGAAUAAGCACCGGCUAACUACGUGCCAGCAGCCGCCGUAA